GACGAACGCUGGCGGCGUGCUUAACACAUGCAAGUCGAACGGAAAGGCCCUGCUUUUGUGGGGUGCUCGAGUGGCGAACGGGUGAGUAACACGUGAGUAACCUGCCCUUGACUUUGGGAUAACUUCAGGAAACUGGGGCUAAUACCGGAUAGGAGCUCCUGCUGCAUGGUGGGGGUUGGAAAGUUUCGGCGGUUGGGGAUGGACUCGCGGCUUAUCAGCUUGUUGGUGGGGUAGUGGCUUACCAAGGCUUUGACGGGUAGCCGGCCUGAGAGGGUGACCGGCCACAUUGGGACUGAGAUACGGCCCAGACUCCUACGGGAGGCAGCGGUGGGGAAUAUUGCACAGUGGGCGGAAGCCUGAUGCAGCGACGCCGCGUGCGGGAUGACGGCCUUCGGGUUGUAAACCGCUUUCGCCUGUGACGAAGCGUGAGUGACGGUAAUGGGUAAAGAAGCACCGGCUAACUACGUG
rnacentral:rRNA from 1 species